UGAUUUCCCGCAGACUGCAGACACCUUGGUGUAAAGCAUCCCCAGGCUUGUUUGAGGGCUCUGUAGUCAGAAUUUCACAAAAGGUCUCCUGGUGCAAAAGGCGUGACACUGUUGUUGUUGUUGUUGUUGUUGUUUUAUGAUGUUUGACUACUUGGUGCAGCGAAGAGACAACCUGGUGUUUUGUAACUAAGGAGUGCCUCCCAAGUAGUUUGGUCUCUUCACCCACACAGGGAAGCGAAGGGGGGCACACAGCGAAAGCUGCUUCGUUGUGUGUGGUAACUUAAGCAAUAGACCUCCCUGUUGUGGUUUUUAGUUAUCCUUUCACAAAUUGACUGAGAAUUCCACUGUAACAGAUAAAGCUGCAUUUUAUGCUCUAUUAACUAAGUAUAGCGCCAGACCAUCCCAAGGUGGGGAGGAAUGGGCAAACAAUAAUUGGUUAAAUCUGGAGAAUGUGAUUGAUAGAAUAUGUUCUUUGCAACAUGAAUCAGAGUUCAAACUGGGCAAAAAUAAAACCAUACUCUGCUCA